UCCCUGGUGGCUCAGAUGGUAAAGUCUCUGACUGCAAUGCAGAAGACCCAAGUUCGAGCCCUGGGUUGGGAA
rfam:TPA: Bos taurus chromosome 9, whole genome shotgun sequence.